GCUGGCGGCGUGCCUAACACAUGCAAGUCGCACGAGAAAGUGGAGCAAUCCAUGAGUAAAGUGGCGUACGGGUGAGUAACACGUGACUAACCUACCCUCGAGCGGGGAAUAACUUCGGGAAACCGAGGCUAAUACCGCAUAACAUCUUCUGGCUGAGAUGCCGGUUGAUCAAACCAGCAAUGGGCUUGAGGAGGGGGUCGCGGCUGAUUAGCUAGUUGGUGGGGUAACGGCUCACCAAGGCGAUGAUCAGUAGCCGGCCUGAGAGGGCGCACGGCCACACUGGAACUGAAACACGGUCCAGACUCCUACGGGAGGCAGCAGUGGGGAAUUUUGCGCAAUGGGGGAAACCCUGACGCAGCAACGCCGCGUGGAGGAUGAAGUCCCUUGGGACGUAAACUCCUUUCGAUCGGGACGAUAAUGACGGUACCGGAAGAAGAAGCCCCGGCUAACUUCGUGCCAGCAGCCGCGGUAAUACGAGGGGGGCAAGCGUUGUUCGGAAUUAUUGGGCGUAAAGGGCGCGUANGCGGUGCGGUAAGUCUGAUGUGAAAUCUCCGGGCUCAACUCGGAGCUUGCACCAGAAACUGCCGUGCUCGAGUGUGGGAGAGGUGCGUGGAAUUCCCGGUGUAGCGGUGAAAUGCGU
rnacentral:rRNA from 1 species